rnacentral:lncRNA from 1 species
AAGAUAUCUAGUUAAGCCUCCUUACUUUAUAGAUCGGGAAACUGAGCCUCAGCGAGAUUGUUUCUUCUGCUGUAAAAUCAUCUGUUUGGAUUUGAGAUCAACAUGAGAAGACCACUAGUUCCAGCCAGAAGCAAAUGUUAUAUCAUGAUGGAUACCCAGUGCAUUUGGGAAUCUGGAAUCAGAGGUGACUCUGAGUAAAAUACAGACAUUCUUUGCUAAUAAAAAGUCCUAAUCAACUAAAUGAACUUAGGUAUUUCAUCUCUUCGGAAGGCCAACGAUUUCUCG